rnacentral:miRNA from 1 species
GUGGGGGAACUAAAGUAGACC